GUCUAUGGCCAUACCACCUGAACAUGCCCGAUCUCGUCUGAUCUUGGAAGCUAAGCAGGGUCGGGCCUGGUUAGUACUUGGAUGGGAGAAGGAAGGAAGAAAGAUCUGCACCAUUGCUU
rnacentral:rRNA from 1 species